rnacentral:rRNA from 1 species
CCAAUAGCGUAUAUUAAAGUUGUUGCAGUUAAAAAGCUCGUAGUUGAAUUUCGGGAUUGACACAUCGGUCGUGCCUUAAGGGGUAUGAACUGGUGUAGUCAGUUUCUCACCUUCUGGAGAACCGCGAUGUCCUUAAUUGGGUGCCGCGAGGAACCAGGACCUUUACUUUGAAAAAAUUAGAGUGUUUAAAGCAGGCAUUUUGCUUGAAUACAUUAGCAUGGAAUAAUAAAAUAGGACGGAUGGUUCUAUUUUGUUGGUUUCUAGGAUCACCGUAAUGAUUAAUAGGGAUAGUUGGGGGCAUUAGUAUUCAAUUGUCAGAGGUGAAAUUCUUGGAUUUAUUGAAGACUAACUACUGCGAAAGCAUUUGCCAAGGAUGUUUUCAUUAAUCAAGAACGAAAGUUAGGGGAUCGAAGACGAUCAGAUACCGCCGUAGUCUUAACCAUAAACUAUGCCGACUAGGAAUCAGACGAUGUUAAUUUUUUAAUGACUCGUUUGGCACCUUACG